rnacentral:rRNA from 1 species
UACAGAGGUCUCAAGCGUUGUUCGGAUUCAUUGGGCGUAAAGGGUGCGUAGGUGGCGAGGUAAGUUGGUUGUGAAAUCCUGGGGCUCAACCCUAGAACUGCAUUCAAUACUGCCUUGCUAGAGUACUGGAGAGGAGAUUGGAAUUUACGGUGUAGCAGUGAAAUGCGUAGAUAUCGUAAGGAAGACCAGUGGCGAAGGCGGAUCUCUGGACAGUUACUGACACUGAGGCACGAAGGCCAGGGGAGCAAACGGG